rnacentral:rRNA from 1 species
UGAUGAAGGUCUUCGGAUUGUAAAGCUCUGUUAAUCGGGACGAAAGAGCCUAGUGUGAAUAAUGCUAGGAAGUGACGGUACCGGAAUAGAAAGCCACGGCUAACUACGUGCCAGCAGCCGCGGUAAUACGUAGGUGGCAAGCGUUGUCCGGAAUUAUUGGGCGUAAAGCGCGCGCAGGCGGAUCUGCCAGUCUGUCUUAAAAGUUCGGGGCUUAACCCCGUGAUGGGAUGGAAACUACAGAUCUAGAGUAUCGGAGAGGAAAGUGGAAUUCCUAGU